GGGACGUACGGAUUAUUGGGCGUAAGAGCUCGUAGGCGGUUUGUCGCGUCUGCCGUGAAAGUCCGGGGCUCAACUCCGGAUCUGCGGUGGGUACGGGCAGACUAGAGUGAUGUAGGGGAGACUGGAAUUCCUGGUGUAGCGGUGAAAUGCGCAGAUAUCAGGAGGAACACCGAUGGCGAAGGCAGGUCUCUGGGCAUUAACUGACGCUGAGGAGCGAAAGCAUGGGGAGCGAACAGGAUUAGAUACCCUGGUAGUCCAUGCCGUAAACGUUGGGCACUAGGUGUGGGGGACAUUCCACGUUUUCCGCGCCGUAGCUAACGCAUUAAGUGCCCCGCCUGGGGAGUACGGCCGCAAGGCUAAAACUCAAAGGAAUUGACGGGGGCCCGCACAAGCGGCGGAGCAUGCGGAUUAGUUCGAUGCAACGCGAAGAACCUUACCAAGGCUUGACAUGGGCCGGACCGGGCUGGAAACAGUCCUUCCCCUUUGGGGCCGGUUCACAGGUGGUGCAUGGUUGUCGUCAGCUCGUGUCGUGAGAUGUUGGGUUAAGUCCCGCAACGAGCGCAACCCUCGUUCCAUGUUGCCAGCGCGUAAUGGCGGGAACUCAUGGGAGACUGCCGGGGUCAACUCGGAGGAAGGUGGGGACGACGUCAAAUCAUCAUGCCCCUUAUGUCAUGGGCUUCACGCAUGCUACAAUGGCCGGUACAAAGGGUUGCGAUACUGUGAGGUGGAGCUAAUCCCAAAAAGCCGGUCUCAGUUCGGAUUGGGGUCUGCAACUCGACCCCAUGAAGUCGGAGUCGCUAGUAAUCGCAGAUCAGCAACGCUGCGGUGAAUACGUUCCCGGGCCUUGUACACACCGCCCGUCAAGUCACGAAAGUUGGUAACACCCGAAGCCGGUGGCCUAACCCCUUGUGGGAGGGAGCUGUCGAAAGUGGGACUGGCGAUUGGGACUAAGUCGUAACAAGGUAAC
rnacentral:rRNA from 1 species